rnacentral:rRNA from 1 species
AAAACUUUCAACAACGGAUCUCUUGGUUCUGGCAUCGAUUGAAGAACGCAGCGAAAUGCCGAUAAGUAAUGUGAAUUGCAGAAUUCAGUGAAUCAUCGAAUCUUUGAACGCACAUUGCGCCCCUCGGUAUUCCGGGGGGCAUGCCUGUUCGAGCGUCAUUAC